AAAUACGAAAAAAUUGCAAGCAGAAUUUUUGAGCUGAAAGACACAUUACUGUCCCACCUGAAGUUUGAAGGCCAGACACUAUGUACUGAAAGACACCUUCUAGGACAUAAGAUACCCAUCUCUCUAAGGUCCCCUCCUGCUGUCACCUCUCCCUCAUUUCCCAGGGUACCCUGCUUCUACCCGGUCCCAAAUUCUGAUCUCAGAACCAAGUGCCUCUGGAUCUGUGCCUUUCCUAAAUAGUAGCACCUGGGGUCCCAUGAUUCCUCUGCCCACAGCCCUCACUGGCCCUCCUCCAGGGGCUCACCAAGCCUGGGCCAAUGAGCUGCGGGGACAUGUCCCCCUAGCCCGCCAGGCUGCACCGGCUUCAUCACAGGAACCAGACAAAACCCCUUUCCCCGAAAUGUAUCCCUGAAGGCAGCUAGGCACAGCAGCCAAAACACUGGGUGCAAUCAGCAGAAGCAUAAACUGUGCAAACUUGCCAAGAAAUUCCAAAAACACUAUAGAUUCCAUUUUUUAAACAGGGACUUGUGUGAUAUCUAAGUGCAGCACUAAUUUAAGCAAAAGUGUGUAGACAAAUUUUUACAACCUGCAAUAGAUGCAGGCCAUGACAAUUGGACCAAAAUCCAGCUUCACGGUAGCAAUUAGCACUAAAAAAA